CCUCCUGUGGAUUCUGCUGCUGUCAAACCAGACGUGACUCCCGGGCCUCCGACAGAUCCAGAAACAUGUCGGCCGUCUCUGCCGCUGCUGUCCUCGCCGACUGCUGCUCGCACUGGACCUGUGAAGACAGGGGGGAGAGUGUUUGUGUUGGACCACAAGCGGUGGCCGGCCCCCAUGAAGGCAACUAUUGACAACCUGCUCAAUAAACACCGUGGCAUGAAGGACAUGCUCAAGCUAGUGGACCAGGACUAUGCUGCUCUAGUUCACAACUCUUGCACAGACCCAAACAACAUGCUCCACCCAACAACUAAACACCACAUCUUACAAUACGUUAAACACCUCUGCAAAUUACUGAACACCAGCUCGUCUUUAAACACCAGCCCGAAAAACUGCAAGAGCGGCAGGAACUCUGGCACGCUCUGACAAAGGGCAGCGAGACGACCCGGGUGCCGGUUGUAACAAUGCCUGUUGCAGUCGUGAACCCACCUCCACCUAGUCAGACCCUCACUAAAGCCUCUAUUGAGCAAAUUGUGCAAAAUAUUAUUGAAAAGCAACAACAGCAUCAGCAGCAACAACAACAACCAGUGGCUUCAAAGAAGCAGACAAAAACGUGCCUUUCCUGUGGUCAGCCAAAGUCCAGGUAUGAGAAUGAUGGUUACUCCAUCCACUUCUUCUACCAGCAGAUACUUUUACUGCUCCACUAAAGUUUUUAAAGCUUACGGUGCUGAGGGUCUGACAAACCCAAAAUGCCAUUUAAUGACUUUGCAGGAACACAGUUCUUUCAGCAGGAACUGUCUGCCACAAAGAAAAGGGUGGAGGAGAGAGGCCAGCAGAAGAGGAAGAGAACUGAAUCCCAGCACAGAACCCCAGAACACUGGUCCAAGGUGUCGCUUUUGUGGGAUGGGACUGAAGCAGGGCCCAAACAGCCCUCACAUUCACACCGGGUUCCCGGGGGUAGCAGGAAGUACGUUUAUUGUCCUGCCAAAGUAUUUUCCCUGUACAGAGACCAGGGCAUGGAGAAGGAGAUGACGUGGAGAGAGUUCAAGGCAUCUGCCUUCUAUGAGACGGGAAAAACAGAUGGGCCGUUGACAAGAGCAAAUAAGAGAGAUGGGCAGUGUUUUGUCAUGUAUAUAUCUUUUCUUAUUUUAAUAAUUACAUUCUUUUAUGAUAUAAAUUAUAUUUGUUUUACUAUUUUUAUUGUUUUUAUUGUUUGUGUGACCUUGCACUAUGGCCUGUGUGUUCAAUAUUUACUGUCCUUGUUGUGAAUAAAUAUAUUUCAUGGA